CUCGCUGUGAAGAUGCAGUGUACCCGCGGCAAGACGGAAAGACCCCGUGAACCUUUACUAUAGCUUGACACUGAACAUUGAGCCUUGAUGUGUAGGAUAGGUGGGAGGCUUUGAAGUGUGGACGCCAGUCUGCAUGGAGCCGACCUUGAAAUACCACCCUUUAAUGUUUGAUGUUCUAACGUUGACCCGUAAUCCGGGUUGCGGACAGUGUCUGGUGGGUAGUUUGACUGGGGCGGUCUCCUCCUAAAGAGUAACGGAGGAGCACGAAGGUUGGCUAAUCCUGGUCGGACAUCAGGAGGUUAGUGCAAUGGCAUAAGCCAGCUUGACUGCGAGCGUGACGGCGCGAGCAGGUGCGAAAGCAGGUCAUAGUGAUCCGGUGGUUCUGAAUGGAAGGGCCAUCGCUCAACGGAUAAAAGGUACUCCGGGGAUAACAGGCUGAUACCGCCCAAGAGUUCAUAUCGACGGCGGUGUUUGGCACCUCGAUGUCGGCUCAUCACAUCCUGGGGCUGAAGUAGGUCCCAAGGGUAUGGCUGUUCGCCAUUUAAAGUGGUACGCGAGCUGGGUUUAGAACGUCGUGAGACAGUUCGGUCCCUA
rnacentral:rRNA from 1 species